rnacentral:rRNA from 1 species
ACUCCUACGGGAGGCAGCAGUGGGAAUAUUGCACAAUGGGGAAAGCCAUCGAUGCAGCCAUGCCGCGCUGUGUGAAGAAGGCCAAUUCGGGCUUUGGUUAAAGACACAUUUUCAGUAGGGAGGAAGGUAGUGUAGUUAACACCUGCAUUAUUUGACGUUACCUACAGAAGAAGCACCGGCUAACUCCGUGCCAGCAGCCGCGGUAAUACGGAGGGUGCGAGCGUUAAUCGGAAUUACUGGGCGUAAAGCGCAUGCAGGCGGCCUGUUAAGUCAGAUGUGAAAG